UGUCUUCGGGGCGGGGUGUGAUUCCCCACCGGCGGUAAUGCGGCAAGGUUGCCGACAAGCCCGCGAGCGGCGCCGUUUACGGCGCGGUUGACUCCGGUUGGAUUCCGGGGCCGACGGUAUAGUCCGGAUGGAAGAAG
rnacentral:ncRNA from 1 species